rnacentral:rRNA from 1 species
GUUGUAUGGUUAAGUGACUAAGCGUACACGGUGGAUGCCUUGGCAGUCAGAGGCGAUGAAGGACGUAGUAACUUGCGAUAAGCCCAGAUUAGGUAGUAACAACCAUUUGAGUCUGGGAUUUCCGAAUGGGGAAACCCACU